UUCUGUCUUCCAAGUGGUCUAGUCUGUUGGUGAUGCUUUCUAUUGCAUUUAUAAUUUGGUUUACUGAUUCCUUCAUUUCAAGGAUUUCUGCUUUUUCCCCCCACAAUCUCUAACUUUUUAUUGAAGUGAUGUUUCACUUCCUGUAGUUUAUCUUUGAUUUCCCUCCUUAUACUAUCCUUUACUUCACAAAUUAAUUGAACUAUAUACAGUCUGAACUCCUUUUUGGACAUUUCUUCUACUGUUAUCAGCGGCUUCUGUCAUUAAAGCAUCUUGGUUUGUUUGAGACGCUUUAUCCUCCCCCCCCCUUUUUUUUCUCAUGUUGUUAGUGAGUUUUCCCAUCUAGAAGCUUGGAUCUAAGGCAGGAUAAAUUAUGCCCUGUAGACCUAUUGUGUCCCUGAAGGUUUCCAGCGCUUCGCUUUUACUAGUGAGACCCAUAUCAACAGCACCCAGUGUUCACAAUAAACUAAUAGUUCCCACUAAGGCGUCUACCGCUUUCUCACAUUAAACCAAAAUGAUAAGUUCAAUAACUAUCUAUAGUAUAAACAGAAAAUUUGUUAAAAUGGUGUACAAUUUCGAAUGGUAGAUGAGAGAACAGAGGUAGUGUAGUACACAAUGUUCAUGAGGGAGGAAGAGAUAAGCUAGAAGCAAAAAUUCGAAGGAAGAAUGGAAGGGAGCCAAUAGAGAUUGGCUGUUGGUUGGAGAAAAGUUGGAAAGAAAAUCCAAGAAAACAGACGAGUAAGAGGAAGAGUACAAAGAUAAAAAAUUAAAGACAUAAGAAUACAACAAAAAUGCAAAACACCAAUUAUAUAUCACUGUCCUCCACACACUGAUGCAUAAAAAAAAAUCCUAUUCCAAAUAUGGUACAGAUAUUAGUGAAUCGAAAAACAAAAUAAAAUAAAUCUUGCUGGAAAGUCGAGCUGUCUCUGUGAGUGUUCAACAGUUUCUCAGCCCUGUCUCAGAUGUCUCUCAGGAAUGUCGGUGGUUGGUGGCAGCAGAUAGCCUGUCGGCAGCAGUGGUUCUGAAAAAGUGUCAUCAGCAGCAGCUGCAGUGGUGGCUACAGUGGGGAUUGCAACUGUGACUGUGGGCGAUCUCAGGGACGCAGCAGCAGGGCUGGUGUCAGUGGUUUCAGGGUCAGUGAUGUCUUGGGUGGCAGCAUGGGCAGCAACCCCCAGAAAGAAGAACUCCAGGCCACCUGGGGUGGCAGCAGUGGUAUCGGAGGCAGCAGCAAUGGCAGUAGCUGAUAGAAAAGGAGACCUCCGGACUUCAGUGGUAGCGACCUCAGAGGUAGCAUCAGAAGUAGCAUCGGCAGUGACCAGAGAAAAGACCUCUGGGCACUGCAGCGGCCUCUGGGGCAGCGGGGUCUGCCCACUCUUGACAUUUUUAAAGGUGUGCCCAUAAGCUGAAGAGAGGGCCAUAGCUACUUACAUUCCUAGACUUUAAAGUGGAACAGAGAUGAUCUUUCCUUAGAGUACCUUGAAAGGAGAGCUUUGUCAUGAAGUCUCAGUGAUCAACAUGUAGGAAGGGGCUGGAGUCUGCAUCUUGGGGCUUAGAGGAGGUUAUGCAGGCAGCUCAGCCUUGGGUCAGCUUUUAGAGGUUCAGAGGGGACCCCAUGUGCUUAAGGCACCAAACAUGGAGUAUUGAUGCUAGAAAACUGGCAAAAACAAUCUUGGGGGCUGGGUGGAAAUCACAAGGGUCUGAGGACUAGAUAUGAUGCAGAUCUGUAUUCUUAUUUUUUUAAAUAUUUAUGUACUUAUUUUUAAUUGUAGUUGGAUACAAUAUCAUUAACUAAUUAAUUUAUUUUUAUGUGGUGCUGAGGAUCGAACCCAGGCCCUCACCCGUGCUAAGGGGGAGCUCCACUGCUGAGCCACAAUCCCAGCCCCAGAUCUGUGUUCUUUUAAAGGAAGUAAUUUCCUCAGUGCUCCGUGAACAGAGCACCAGGAGUAGGGUUUGGGGGAGUUUGAUUGCUGACAAGGGACCCCAUUCACAUAUGGGUACUGAAAAGAGCUAAGUUCCAGAUGAGUGGGAGUACUGGUAAUGUGGGUGUUGUAUUUGCACAGAAUAGGGAGUGGCUGCCAAAUCUGCCCUGCUGGGCUAGGUUGUUCCAGUCCCCACCCUUAGCUGGGUUUCCCAAGCAAUCAGUGAAUAAUGUCCCAGGCCUCCAUGCUAAGGCAGGGCCCUUCCCUGAGCAGAACAAGUUGGCUGGUAAAGGAAGGACAUCUCAGAGCAGUUAGUUAUAGAGGAAGCCAUGGUCCAGAGCAAAACCCUCUAGUUUCUGUCAGUUGUGGAGAAAAAAGGCCUCAUUUGAUCAAUCUCUGACCUGAUGGACACUGAGGAAGACAGAAGCCUUAAGGGCAGCAUGGAUUGCUUAUUUGAUAAAGUUUGAAGCCUUUGCAAAAUACCGGGUUCUAGGUGCAUUCACUCUGGUGUUUAGAUGAGGACCAGUAGAGGCCAUGGUGCUCUGACCUUGGUGCACCGCCAGGUACACAUCUCCAUGUGAAGCUUCCUGCAUGGGCAGCUCAGCAUCACUGAAUCCAUCUUGUACAGGAUCCUGUGGUUCCUGUUCAGCAGAGGAGAGUGCCCAGGCAAAUGUUCCCUGCAGACUCUCGUAGAAGUUGUGCUUCAGAUCACAUAACACAAAGAAAGCUAAGACACCAUCCAGACUUCCUCAUGAGAAAGACCAGUCUGAGAGUUCUAGGCUGUGGGGUUCCUGCAUCUCUCUCAGAGGGCCCAGAAGAAUGUGUGGACAUUCCUGCUGUUUCCUGAUCAGGACCCCAGACAAUUCAGGGCUUCAGAGAACCAUGAUCAUUACCAGGUCACAAGUGGAAGAUGACCAGUUAAAUUGCGAGGACCCAAGAAGCAGGACGGAGAGUCUGAGCAACCAGGAGUGAGAGCCAGGUAAAUAAUACGUAUUCCCAGAGAAAAGAACAAGGCGGGAUCUUCAGAAAGUAGCUGCUCCAGCAACCACAGAUCUCAGAGCAUUUACCAAGAAAGGAAGGGAUGGGCUGUGAAAUACAGAUGGUGGUUGCUUGUCCAGCCCCAGUGGCUGUGACCUGUCAGUUUUAUAGCCCUCCCUCCAGGAGAGCCAGUGAGAACCUGGAACUGGAAGACUCCUUUCUGCCACAGUGGCCUGGCAGGUAUUUUUGCGUUUUGAUUGGAACACCUUCCUGUCAGUCCGUCUCUGUCACCAAGGACAGCUGACAGCCUCCCUCAGAUUCCUGAAUGUACUCUCUUCUAAGUUUUCCAACCCUGUGUCCACUCUGGAUUUGGGGAUUUCCUGCAACCUCAGCCUGGACCCUUCUUGUAAAUGCUUGAUUGGGUGAAGAUCUGCUUCUGGCAAAGUCUGCUUGCCUGAACCUCUUUUGCCAUCCUGAUCUUCCUGAAUGGUACAUAAUGCACCACGGGUAGACGUGGCUGCAGUCGGCCACCUCCUAUGAGCUGGUCCACUGGGUCCAGAGAGACACAUAGAGGUGUUUUCCUGAAAAUUAAAGAGCAGCUGGUACACAGAGCAUUAACUGCAGACGGCUACAUGCUGGAAUUGACUGAAAGUCAAGAGUCUUGCUAUCCUUUCACGGAUAAGGAAAACCCAUCUCUCAGAUCUUCAAAGCCACAUAACUCUAAGUGGCUUUGUAAGUGGCCUAACUCUGACCAAAAUUCAGGGCCUUUUUUCUUGGUCUAUCAGAACCUGGCUGUAUUUCCCAUCCUUUACAUCCUUCUGUCUGUUCAAGAACCAGUCUGGGAUCUUGUACUGUCGUGGAUUCUGCAUAAUGGUGAUCACACGUUCAUCCUCAUCUUCAGUGAGUUCUCCAGCCCUCUUGGUGAGGUCAAUGUCUGCUUUCCUCAACACCACAUGAGCAUACCUUCACCCCACUCCCUUAUUGGCAGUGAUGGCAAAGGCUAUUUUCCGCCGCCCAUCGAUGUUUGUGUUGAGUACUCAAAAAAUGUGCUGGAACUUUUCAGGAAUCACUAGAGACAUGGCGGCAACAGAGCAGCAGCGUUAGGCCUCCUAUGGAAGAAGCUCCUCAGUGUCUUUUUGUUCAGGUAGACUCCUUAGCUUCUCACAGAUGAAAUGAAUUUAAAAGAACAAUU